rnacentral:lncRNA from 1 species
AGCGUGGGAGAGAGUGAAGGAGUAAAUGAGGUAUUUUGCGUGCAUGCCCAAAUUGGAAGAAGAAACAAUGGUUGAAGCUAUUAGGGUUCUAAAGCAAGAAUCGUCUCAUUCUUCUCACCUUCAUCUUUCAAAUUAAGUAUUCAUCCACUUCAAGCUUCAAGUCAGAAUCUACUAGUUAGAGGUGGGUUGCAUUAGAUAGUUCUUGGGUAGAAUUGAGAAUUAUUCAUGCUAGAUAUUGGGGUUUUUGGUCUUAUAAUCAAUGUUUAUGAUUCUAUGUGUGGUUGUGUCUCUACGCAUGUUUAUGUUGUUUGAUUAUCAUGAAUAUGGUGUUGUGCUAGUUUUUUUUUUCUGUUAAAGGAAUGUUAUGCAUAAUUUAUAUGUCAAGAAUUAACCCCAUGUUUGAUUAAUUCAAGAACUUGUUGAAUGUGUAGUGUAUGUGAAAGUAUGAGAUUUUAUUAUGUGGAU